UACGAAGGGGGCUAGCGUUGCUCGGAAUUACUGGGCGUAAAGGGCGCGUAGGCGGAUAUUUAAGUUAGAGGUGAAAGCCCAGGGCUCAACCCUGGAAUAGCCUUUAAUACUGGAUAUCUUGAGUUCGGGGAGAGGUGAGUGGAACUCCGGAGUGUAAGAGGUGAAAUUCGUAGAUAUUCGGAAGAACACCAGUGGCGAAGGCGACUCACUGGCCCGAUACUGACGCUGAGGCGACGAAAGCGUGGGGAGCAAACAGG
rnacentral:rRNA from 1 species